GCAGAGCUUGCUCUGCUGAUCAGUGGCGAACGGGUGAGUAACACGUGAGUAACCUGCCCUUGACUCUGGGAUAAGCGCUGGAAACGGCGUCUAAUACCGGAUACGACCUUCCCCGGCAUCGGGUGGGGGUGGAAAGAUUUUUUGGUCAAGGAUGGACUCGCGGCCUAUCAGCUUGUUGGUGAGGUAAUGGCUCACCAAGGCGACGACGGGUAGCCGGCCUGAGAGGGUGACCGGCCACACUGGGACUGAGACACGGCCCAGACUCCUACGGGAGGCAGCAGUGGGGAAUAUUGCACAAUGGGCGAAAGCCUGAUGCAGCAACGCCGCGUGAGGGAUGACGGCCUUCGGGUUGUAAACCUCUUUUGGCAGGGAAGAAGCGAAAGUGACGGUACCUGCAGAAAAAGCACCGGCUAACUACGUGCCAGCAGCCGCGGUAAUACGUAGGGUGCGAGCGUUGUCCGGAAUUAUUGGGCGUAAAGAGCUCGUAGGCGGUUUGUCGCGUCUGCUGUGAAAUCCCGAGGCUCAACCUCGGGCCUGCAGUGGGUACGGGCAAACUAGAGUGCAGUAGGGGAGACUGGAAUUCCUGGUGUAGCGGUGGAAUGCGCAGAUAUCAGGAGGAACACCGAUGGCGAAGGCAGGUCUCUGGGCUGUAACUGACGCUGAGGAGCGAAAGCGUGGGGAGCGAACAGGAUUAGAUACCCUGGUAGUCCACG
rnacentral:rRNA from 1 species